AAAAAGCACUCCGAGUGCAAUAGUAUUUUACCCUCCAAUGGGUUCCGCAUCUGUUUGCUGUCGAUAAGUUGGCCCUGGGCUGCGAUCAGUGGCAGCCACAGUAGGAGCCGUGCCGCCAAAGUUGUUGCCUUACUGACACCAUUCCGCCCCGAGCCAAAUGUCAACAACCCAUGAGGGCUUCGCCUCAAGUACUCGGUGCUGUUUCGGUUAUGGUUGAAUACCCUUGAAGAAGGGUACUACGAUUAAGCGAAGAAGGUUGCAACAGUGCGAGGGAACCCUGAAUAUUCCACUCCAAUAAUUAAGUAUCCAAACGGUCGCUCUU